rnacentral:lncRNA from 1 species
GUUGAAACCAGAGAUGGAAAAGCUCUUUGACUUCCAAGGAACUGAAGUUUCAAUCAUUUUCUAGAGUUAAAUAUGUGAAUGACUUUUUUCUUUUCCUUUUUUUUUAGCUCCCUCUUUAUGAAAAAGGUAAAAUACAAUCCAAAAAAUGAAACAGACAACAUAGAAGAGAAGAGUAAGAUGCCAACUUCGUACUGGGAAAGAACCUUGAUCUGCAUUGAGCUGAGCUCCUGGAGUCAGAACUCACAGCACAGAGGGAUGACAGUAACUGUGAUGUGAUGACCAGAGUGUUGUUUGCUGAAAACACCAAGGGUGAAAUCUGACAGGUUUUGUCUGAAAUAUUCCUUUUUGAUGACCACGAGCUUCUUUAAACACAGCUUCCCCAGUAAGACAAGUUAGAGUUUCUAGGUCCUUGUCUUGACUCAGGAUUAUUUCUGAAAAUUUCUUGCAGGCUUUUGUCCCUUGUUCCUGUGUCUUGAAAUGUAGUUUCUUUGUGGCUCCAGUUAGCCAGGGCAUGGUCAGCUAAACUGUGACCAUUACUUGUCAGUAGUGAUGGUGACAUUCUGUCCCUGAAGCUUUCCCUCUUGAUCUCACAAGCCAGCCCAGGUUCUCCAUCUUUGUGUCAGGGUGUGUCCAUCCUGACCACAUCAGCUCACUGUGCUCCACCAGGCCCUGUGUGCUGCUGCUGACCAGCCCUCCAUAUGGAAUUGGGCAACUGUGAGUUAACUGUGUUAUUAGUCAACUACAGGUUAAAUGUGUUAUUGGACAACUAUGGGUUAACUAGGUAACUAUGCACUUUGUAGAAUGUACCUAAGUAGCCAUGACAAAUUCUAUAAUCUGUCACCAAAGGAAUUUAGAGGACUCAGAAAGUCCUCUGGGAACUGCGCCCCCCUCUCCACUGAUCUGCUUUGUGUAAAUCCUGCUUGCUGUAUUCUCAGGGAAACUCCAAUGGAAUUAAGCCUUGUAGAUGUAAAAAGAGGUAUGUAAAGAAGCACAAAGCUCUAUUUGAGGCUCUUGAGACUGACAGGAGUCAUUCACUGAGCCACUGGCAUCAUUAAAAGCCACUUUUUGCUUCUAUCUUUGUUGUAAGAGUGAUCUGUCUGGGGUCCCC